rnacentral:lncRNA from 1 species
ACCCCGGCACGAGCCUGCUCCUCCACAGUACCACCCGGCACCACUACCGCAGUACAACCUGGUGCCCCACCCACGGUACUACCCGGCACCACCACAGCACGACCCAGUGCCCCCAGCAUAUCAGCAGGUGCCACCACAGGACCCCCCAAUCUAUCCCCAGUCGGGUCCAGUCCCUCCUCCACGGGACCUUGUUCCUUCUUUGAUCGACCCGGGUUACAUAGAGAGGUACAGGAGACUGAACCCCUCCACCUUUACAGGGGGAUCCUUUUUUGAAGAGGCCCAGUACUGGCUGGCGGAGACUGAGAGAGCUUUUAGGACCUUGGGAGUAAUUCCUGAGCAGAGAGCUGCCCUUGCUUCCUACAUGCUGGUAGGGGAAGCAGGACGUUGGUGGGAGCUCAAGCAAACCACCCUGCCUACACCAGUCAUUUGGGAGCAGUUCUUAGCGGCCUUCCAUGCGGAGUAUCUCCUUGAGCACAUCCGACACCUAAAGGAAACGGAGUUUGUUCAACUUGUUCAGGGAAAUAUGACAGUAUUAGAAUAUUCUCGUAAGUUCCUAGAGCUGGGCUGAUACUCACCGGAGACAUUGAUGGAUGAGGGCCGAAAGGCCAGGAGAUUCUAGUGGGGUCUCCGCCCAGAGAUCAGGCAACACUUGUUAGUACUGGAGCUCAAGACAUAUUCAGCAGUCCUAGCAAAGGCACAGAUCAUGGAAAGAAGCUUCAGCACCCGUCCUAUGCCAGGAGGGAGUUCCCGACCCUCAGCUCCGUUCCGCAGGCCAGCACCUACUGCGCCUACCCAACCAAAUAAGAGGCCCAGACUAGCCAUCCAGGCCCCUCCUCAGGCUCCAAGGACAGCACGUGGGAAGAUCUGUCAGCACUGCGGUAGAGAUCACGGGGACCGACCCUGCUACAGCCUCAACAACACUUGUCGCAUUUGUGGCAGUGCCCAGCAUUAUGCAAGAGAAUGCCCGAGGAACCAGAAUCAAGGGAGGCCUCCUAUCUAGGGCAGAGCAUACAACCUUACCCAGCAAGAUGCCGACGCUGACCCGGAUGUAGUACAGGGUAUGUAUACUAUCUAUGAC